UGUGUUGGAAAUUUGUCUGGCCGAAGAUACAAAUCCAGAAGAUCAGCCGAGUCGUCCUGUAAAGAGCUGCAAUACCAGUUCAAGUGGAGAUACUGAAGUGGACUCAGAUGACACUAUAAUAUUACAACACAGUCCUACAACAAGACGAAGACUUGAAGACACCUCUCUUGCCAAAGUGGUUGCUGUCAUUGGUGAGGAUGCAUCAUCCGUUGAAGGUCAUGUGAAUGUCCUGCAUAUCCAGUACAGCAAGGUGCGAGAGGAUAUACCAAAGAAGUACCCUUUCUUGAAGACAACCUCAGGGUUGUUUGAUGAUGUUGACCGAAUGCAUCCAUCACCUGUCAGUUUAAGC